GUCAUCAUUUUCAAUGUUCUGGUAACUCUGGCCUAGAAAAUCAGCAUAGAAACCACAAGGACCUUUUGAGUUCACCACUGUACGAAGAGCUGUAUUCAUUUGUUCUCAUGCCUUAAAUUCCCUUACAAGGUUAGCGUAUGAAUUUUACAUGUGGCUUUUAGAUACUUCACAUUAAGUUUCACACACGUAGGACAUGACGUUUUAUUUUUCACGUUGUCACAUGCGCCUUCACAUGUUUUUCUGUGUGAUCAAAAAAAUCACAAGCAAAAUGUAUGUGAUAUUUCCAUAAGAGUUUUUUUUCCCCUUCUUCUUUUUUUUAAAGUGCAAAAGGUUGCAUUCCAUAUAAAUUAUGGACAGAAACAUUCACAUUAUCUGGAUUUAAAACAUCCAAAAGUAAAAAUGAAAUGCAUCCUGGAGCAAGACAGAAAUAUAUGGCAACGACAACAGAAAAAUUAUUGAAAAGAACCAAAAGAAAGAAGUCCAAGUUGUGUUGUGGCCUUGAGUGAAUUAAAAAAAAAAAAAAACUGUUCAAACCUGUCUGGUCUCUCUUAACACACAUUCUUCAAAACAAGCUUAAUCCAGAAUCUUAAAGACAAGAGCAACGGGUAAUGAUUUUUUUCUCACCAUUUUUAUUUCUUGCUUUAAUCAAUAAAUAGUGGAAAUAUUACGAUAAUAGAAUUGAUAUAUAUGUAUUUCCAAAGGAUGGUGCGUGGUCUCUUUUUGUGUCAGAACUUCUGUUAUAGAAAAUGAAUCAACCCCUUCUGACUGGAUUUGAAAAUUACCUAAUUACAUAACACUCAGAAAGGGAGAGGCAAACUUUUGACCUGACAUCGCUUUGAUCACUACUAUCUCAAUAUAGAUUAUCUGACCAAUUUUGUUGAAUGUCAAGAAUGUCUGGGAAAACCUAACACACUAAAUGUCUCCAUGUUACUGCCUUGCUAAAUGACUUUUCUUACUUUACUUCAUUUAGUUCUUUAAAAAAGGACAAUACAAACGAAUCAACAUCAGUAUUUCUGAUGUAAAUGUGUCAGAUUUAGCCAAAUAGAUCAUUUUCAUCUGCUGUCCUUGGCUAUGUUGAUGUUAAAACAAAAAGAACAGAUACAACUGGAAGAAAAGCAUAAAUCCACAAAACAACAUUAAAAGAACACAUAAUGCUGAAAAAAAAAACCCAUACACAAUUAAUUAUAUAUACAUAUUUUAUACAUUAUAUCCUAAGGGUGUGCAAAAUUUUGCAACUGUGUUCUGGUAUCAAACCCUGGCUGAUUUUCCAUUGUUUAUCUCAAAACAUUUGAAUGUGAACUAAGAUUUUGUUUUAAGCCUUAAUAGUGAAAAAUUUCUUCGACUAACCGGAAUUCAACGAAGAGGCGAGAUUCUGCUGGGAAACAUUUUGGUCAUCUGGUAACACGUCCCUAAAAAGAGCAAUAUAGUCCGGAUAGUCUGGGGUCUUUUCGGGAGGCGGCUCAUAGCUUUCUGCAUCGUUUUCCACUAGAGACACAACGUAUAAUCAGUACAUUCAACCCAUAACACACCUUCUCUUGCUCAAACUUUAGUAAACAAGUAGACAAGAACAAUAAGUAAACAUUCUCCCCCCUCACCAUGCUGGUUGAUGUAAUCACUCUGGCUUCCACCUUGAUUAAACAAACAGUUCAAACAAAAAUAAUUGACUGAGGUCUGAACACUUGAACUGAGACAGUUUCAUUUGCAUUGCAGUGUAACUUUUAAACCUAAAGGCUGAAUAUGUUUUGUAUAAAUGUACAGGAAGCAAGUGUUCCAAAGAAAACAACGAGUGUUACAAUCUCACCAUCAGAGGAGGGACAACUCGAGAUCCGUCUCGUGUCAGGCAUCGAUGGAGAACUGAUAACAUGGACAACAUGAGGCUCAUGUGCAUAAUUUACAAGUGUGAAUGUGUGUUCAUAGAUGAAGAGCAGACUCACGUCAGCUGGUGUUGAGAAGGCUGAACUGGUACGACAGUGAACGAAGGACGCUCUACUAAGAGAUGGAAUGGAGGAAAUCAGCCGCACUCAUCAAUCAUCAAAAGUCUGAAAUACAGCUUGUCUAUUUACUGUUUACUAUCAAAAUAGCAAUGGUCACACCGUAUAACUAUUUACACCCCCAAAACACCAAGAUAAUAAAGGCACACCUUGUUUUUAAAGCAUCAUUAGCUAAGCUAGCCAGCUAUGAACACAGCACUGUGCUAAUGUUGCCAGCUACAGUAUAUAUUCAACUUUAUUUGACCUCUCCUCUAGAAGCGAGGUAACUUUAGCAUCUUGCCAGUAUCUGUUAAGCUCAUCAUUAUAUCAUACAACUAAAACGAAGCACUAACAAGCUAACGUUACAUUGUAUAAAACUGUAUCCAAGGUUGCUAGCAAGCUACCUAACAACACCACAACAUCACUGGUUGUGAAACGCAGGAGUCAGGUUAAUGGGAAUUGGCAAUUUCUAAAUUUAGUGCAGAAAUAAAAUGCUCAUCAAGGCUUGUCUGCAAAUUUACUGAAGGAAAAAAGGCUACAUAAGUAAGUCUACAACUAAGUCUAGUUGGAAAAACACACACGCUCAAUCACAUCAAAGGGCAAUUUAUCUUAGCCAAUACACGAGCUGGUAUGUUUUUGAGAGGUGGGAGGAAACCGGAGAACCCAGAGGAAACCCACAUGACCAUGGUGAGAACAUGCAAAACUUCACACAGACAGUAACCAAGCUCAGAAUGAAACUGAGGACCCUGGAGAUGUAAAGCAGCAACGCUACCCACUGUGCCACCAUGCCACCCUGUGCAGUCUAUAAUGAAUCUAAUUGUGCAUCAAAUGAUUGCUAGGGCAGAAGCAUGGUGGCUUAGGGGUUAGCAUGUGUGCCUCGUACCUGCGAGUUUGGGGGUUUGAAUCCCGCUUCUGCCCUGUGUGCAUGAAAUUCUCCCUGUGCUUCAGGAAUUUCCUUCGGGUACUCCGGUUUUCUACCCCAGUCCACAAACAUGCAUUAUAGGUUGACUGGCAUUUUCAAAUUGUCUACAGUGUGUGUGUGAGUGUUGGCACCCUGAGUUCCCUGAGAUAGGCUCCAGGUUCCCCUGUGUAGGACAAGUGGUAUGGAAAAUGGAUGGAUUGCUGGAUGUUUGACAGGGAAGUUGGAAUGCUAUUAAUAGACAUGUUAAGGUGGCAGUGCUGCCAUUCACUACACUG
ensembl:lncRNA